GGGGAAUUUUGGACAAUGGGCGCAAGCCUGAUCCAGCAAUGCCGCGUGCAGGAUGAAGGCCUUCGGGUUGUAAACUGCUUUUGUACGGAACGAAAAGCCUCUCUCUAAUACAGGGGGGUGAUGACGGUACCGUAAGAAUAAGCACCGGCUAACUACGUGCCAGCAGCCGCGGUAAUACGUAGGGUGCAAGCGUUAAUCGGAAUUACUGGGCGUAAAGCGUGCGCAGGCGGUUUUGUAAGACAGUGGUGAAAUCCCCGGGCUCAACCUUGGAACUGCCAUUGUGACUGCAAGGCUGGAGUGCGGCACAGGGGGAACGAAGACCGCGUGUAGCAGCGAAAUGCGUGGAUAUGCGGAGGAAAACCGAUCGCGAAGGCAAUCCCCUGGGCCUGAAAUGACGCUCAUGCACGAAAGCGUGAGGAGCAAACA
rnacentral:rRNA from 1 species